AAGAUUAAUUUGCCCUCUGCCAUCGCUCACCAAUCAAAACUUGCCAGCCCCCCAGAACCAAUGAACUUUCUCUCUUUUUUUCUCUUUAUUUAGACGGAGUCUCGCUCUGUCGCCCAGGCUGGAGUGCAGUGGCACGAUCUCGGCUCACUGCAAGCUCCGCCUCCCGGGUUCACGCCAUUCUCCUGCGUCAGCCUCCCGAGUAGCUGGCACCCAGGAAACUUAGAUUCAUAUUCUUUGGCCUGAGUGGAAGGACCUGAAAAUCAGCACCCCGGCCUGUAUGACCUAGUCAGUGGCAAGAUCACAUAGCUGUGACUCAUACUGGACAGGCUGAGUCCUAGAACAGCACUCACACGGCUCUCCAGCCAUCGAGGGAAGGCAAAUGGAGGUGAAGUAAUAUUGGUCUGGCCCAACUGCAAUAUCCAGAGACUUAUCUGUGUCAUAUGAAAGAAAAGGAGCAGGAAGCCAAGAUGCCCAGCCUGGCUUCUACAUCAGGCUGGUCUGCAUAGUCAGAUGCAAGGACACUGAUAUAUGCCUGGGGGUAAUGAGGGCAGUGGGGUGAGGCAGCUAAGCCAAGAUAAGCCUCCUCUCCACCAAACAUAGGUGCUACUGAGCAAUGAUGGCGGCCAUGCUGUUUGCUCUGGUACUUGCCCAGGGAAUGCUCUGAGAAACCUCACUAAAUCUGCCCUCUAGAGUAGAGCAGCCUGGGAGCUCAGGCUUCCUUUUCCUCUGUGUGAUAGGUUGGUAGUCCUUAGAGCCAGCCAUUUCAUCCUGCUCCUUCUGUCCUCCCCUUUCUGACCAAUAAAGGUGGUGUGCUUCUCCAGCCUCCUGCUGCCCAGUCAGCAGGGUGGGCUCUCACUCCAUCCUGCCUCUGGCAUGACAGCACAAUUCCCCUCAUUCUUUAUAAUCAUUAUAAAAUAAAACAACUACCUUUUAGAAUA